CAGUCGCCGCGGUAAUACGAAGGGGGCUAGCGUUGCUCGGAAUGACUGGGCGUAAAGGGCGCGUAGGCGGAUCACGCAGUCAGAAGUGAAAUUCCUGGGCUUAACCUGGGGGCUGCAUUUGAGACGCGCGGUCUAGAGUGUGAAAGAGGGUCGUGGAAUUCCCAGUGUAGAGGUGAAAUUCGUAGAUAUUGGGAAGAACACCGGUGGCGAAGGCGGCGACCUGGUUCAUAACUGACGCUGAGGCGCGAAGGCGUGGGGAGCAAACAGGAUUAGAUACCCCUGUAGUCCCUGUCUCUUAUAC
rnacentral:rRNA from 1 species